GUCUAACAUCAUAAACCCUGUUUCAGAGGAGACCCGAAACCUGGCAGGACAAGGUAAGAGGGCAAGCCAUCGUAAAACAGUUUUCCCCAUACCAAGAAAUGGCACCAGAAUACUCAUAAUUCUGUAACCACUACAGUGGACUCUAAUCAUUAUGAUGGUUGAAUCCAUCUUAAGUAACCUUUAAUUAGUUGAUGUAAAUCUUUUUCAUCUUACAUUGUUCUUUUGAAGUUUAUAUAAACAGCACAACAUAUUUUAUAGCUAUAAGUGUAAAGUUAAAAUGCCAAGACUUGUAUUUAUGUACAAGGGUAUGAAAUAGUCAAAUUACUCUGAGGUAUCUAUCCUUUUAUACGCAUGGGGGUUCUUGUUACGGAUUCUGGAAUAUCUAUGGCAUUCUAGAACCUCUCUGAGCCCCUUCUAGUAGUAUGGCAGAUUGUAGCCAGAUGUAUAGUGAUCUGUCAGUGUUAUCAUACAGAUUAUUAGGAGUAGAGGCACUGAUGUUAAAACUGAGGUACAAAGUAUCAUGGCUCCGACCAGUUGGAGAGUAUCGGACACGGAAAAGAUGGCACCUAGUCCGAAAUUAAUGAUUGAGAAGGAUAGAUGGAAUUGGAAAUGAAAAGGAUAACAUAAUUAUCCAAAAGAGAAAUUAAUCUUGCAUCCUUUGUAUUGGCUCUAAUAAAUUUAGGUUUGCUGUACUUCUGAAGUGGAAAAGGGAAGAGAAGGAUGGAUUAUUGAUUGGUGGGGAAAAGAAAAUGAAAAGAGAAAUAUAAUGGCGGAUAUAGAGGAAACUAUUAAGAGAUUUUAAGAGUAAUAGAAGAGAAUUGGCAGGUCCCCACAUUUAUAUGGAAAUCAAAAAACACUUAAAAAAAAAGAAUACCAAAAAAAUUAGGAGAAUGUCACCAGAUCAUGUGGUUUUUAUAUGUCAUGUUGCUUGGGAGGAAAAUUUUCUAAUUUAUCAUUAUCAUACUGCAGAAUUU